CGAUCGAUUCUUAGCUUUCCUCUCCCUUAUAAUUCUGAUUUACGGAGCCUUCUGGUUUGAUUGUUUUUGUUGGCUUAUUUCUGAACCAAUUGUCUCUCACAUUUGAGAAAUCGACAGGGAGAGCGCUGGAGUAAGAAAUAGAGAGAACGAGAUUGAAAACAACAGAGUAAGUGACAGAGAUGUUGAGAUGAAGAGUGACGGAGAAGUCGAGAUAUAGAGACACGAAGCAAACGAAAUGGUCUUGCUUGAUGUUAUUUGAUCUCCAGAUAUUGGCAUCGUUCACGAUUCAUAAAGGUAAUCAAAUAUUGACCAGGAGCUUGAGAUGUCAAUUAACCAAAUCUGGAUGCUUUUCUCAUGAAUUAUGAUUAUACAUUGCUUCUUCUUUUGAGCUUCUGAAGGUAUUGUAUUUUUUUUCUUAGAUUACCUUGGAAUAUAAUGCUAUUGAGAACAGCUUUAACUACUGUAUUUUUAUAUAAGCACCCAAAAUGGACGAAGAAGUGUCAAAGCUGAAGGGGAAGCUAGAAUACAAUGAUGACGUAGAGAGUUUCUUUGAUGCGUUGUUUAAGAUCGUCGAAGAUCUAGGUCCUAACAGUGGCUUUAUUCGAUUUAUCUUGGGGAUGACGCUGAUUAUCACCAUGAGACACAUGAUAAUCUGAAAAUUGAUGUUAUGCUUGAUACCAUGAGACCUGAUUUGCAUGUUAUCAACGAUUCUGAGAGAGCCAUUACUCUUAAAGAUGACGGACAUGUGACAUUAAAACCAAACCAAGCUUAAGAAGAAGCCUCUUCUAAAGUCUUUCCCGUUAAUUUAUUGCCAACAUUCUUUCUCUACCAGAACGAAAUAAUAUCAUAUAUCUAACCACUGUUAAUCAUCUCUUUCCAUAGGGAGCAAUCUGGACUAAUGGGUUUACUCACACAGGCUUUGUUGGUAGGGUGGCGGAACCAUCCAGAUGAUGAGGUGCUGUUAAUCUCUCCGUGCACUCAAACCCAAUUGUAAACAACAUUGGUCCAGAAAACACCAACAGGUGUGAUGCUGCUGCAGCAAUCGAAGGCUGUUCAGAAGUGUCCGAACCAAAUUCUCUGCAAACUGAUACACUGGUGAACACGAAGGAGUAAACAACGGGUGCUGAGAAGGGUCCAAACUAUAAAGGGUCCUGAUCACUCAACCUAUAGAGACAAUGAAUCUGGCCAAAAAUUUCUUAAUUCCAUUUCUGCUUCCUGAGUUUUUACCCUUCACUGAAUAAUGUAGUUGUCUUGCAACUUUUUAGUUAAUCAGCUCUGGUUUUCGUUUGUUGAAGUAUAAUUGGUACAGCUGGUAAUUUUAGUAUUUAUGUUGUGGUUAUGAAACUUUUUUGUUAACCUGAUUUUUUUUGGGUUUCGUAUUGUUUUGGUAUCA